rnacentral:lncRNA from 1 species
GGCACCUCCUAAAAAUUGCUCUAGUGAGGGGAGGAGGUUUUGGUCUCAAAAACUAUCAUGGGGAGCUUGGAAAAGGUAAGAAAAUGCUAUUCCAACACUUUAAUUAAAGUUUUAGUGGUUGGUUAGUGAGUAAUUUGAGUUUUGCUUUUCUCUCUCUUCCAUGGUGCUUGAGCUUUGUAUGGAGCAAAUUAGACCCUUGUUCUUAAGCUAUUAGUUGGAAUUAGUUAAAAAUAUGAGCUUGCCCUCUUUAUUGGUCGUUCUUGCUUGAUUUUAGUGGUGAUAUAUUUCACUCUAUCAUGUAUGUUCAUGUAGUUCUAGAUCUAGGAUUUGCUUUUUAAAUUUUUUAUUUAUGGUUCAUGAAAUUAGAAUGGUUUGG